CAUGGGAGACUGUGUGGCAGAGUAGGACGUUGCGAGGU
rnacentral:rRNA from 1 species